AGUGAACGCUGGCGGUAGGCCUAACACAUGCAAGUCGAACGGCAGCACAGUAAGAGCUUGCUCUUACGGGUGGCGAGUGGCGGACGGGCGAGGAAUACAUCGGAAUCUACUUUUUCGUGGGGGAUAACGUAGGGAAACUUACGCUAAUACCGCAUACGACCUACGGGUGAAAGCAGGGGAUCUUCGGACCUUGCGCGAUUGAAUGAGCCGAUGUCGGAUUAGCUAGUUGGCGGGGUAAAGGCCCACCAAGGCGACGAUCCGUAGCUGGUCUGAGAGGAUGAUCAGCCACACUGGAACUGAGACACGGUCCAGACUCCUACGGGAGGCAGCAGUGGGGAAUAUUGGACAAAGGGCGCAAGCAUGAUCCAGCCAUACCGCGUGGGUGAAGAAGGCCUUCGGGUUGUAAAGACCUUUUGUUGGGAAAGAAAAGCAGCAGGUUAAUACCCCGCUGUUCUGACGGUACCCAAAGAAUAAGCACCGGCUAACUUCGUG
rnacentral:rRNA from 1 species